CUCCUGUCUAGUUUUUGCUAGGUGGAUCAGGGAAAGUGCUCUGAUCGUGUUAUCGCGCGCUUCUCGGUGCGGGGUAAAUCCCACCUGGUCCUUAUGAAUCAAGUUCGGGAGGUGGGCCUGCAGUCUCUGUGCGAGUAUCUUCGUAAAAAGCUUCAAGUCGUUAUUUAACAGUGAGAUGGGGCGAUAGUUCGCACAGUGUUCAGGAUCUUUCCCGUCUUUAGGAAUUAGGAUGAUGUUGGCCGCCAGGGUCUGUGUCGGGAAUAUCUGCCCGUCUCGGAUCGCAUUGAGUGCCG